GGUGAGGAGUGAAUCUUCCUCUCCUGAUGAAGAACCGCAGCACAUCAACAGACCUAAGUCAAAGGGGGAAAGCCGGAGCACCCUCUGUUUGGCGAAAGCGUACCCCAAAUUCCCACCAAGCAUCUUCGAAUACAUCGCCGAAUAUUGGCAGCACCUCAAAGGCUCCCGUGGUCUGAGGAAAAGGAUCGAAAAUCAAAGAUCCAAAGUGGGUAGAAUCAUGGCUUUCCUUUCGUUUAUAACCAAGGGCCAGACAAUCCUCCAGAAUUGGACUUUCCUUCCCAAUAUGUCCAGGAUAUACCAGUGGCCAGAACAUCUGGUAAAUGGGGGGAAAAGCUGAGAACACAGUAAAAAUCUACCUGGUGAAUUUGUCCCAGUUCCUGGCCUACUUUAGGGACACCCCUCCCUCCUCAUCCAGGGUUCCAAAAAGAGAAGUGUUUGCCGUGAUUCGUGCUAUCUCAGAGUGCAUUGCGAGCCUGGGCCCAGGUGUAGUCAUGCGUCAGAUAAGUGUAAAGAAAAAAGUUGAGCAGAACAAUCUCCAAGGACCAACUUCGCCUCUGCAAAGUCCUGGCCAGGAGACGCAUCCCUGAACUUCUUGAUGAACUGUCUGAGGACCCCAACCCGGAGGCGCGCAGGAGAUUCUUCGGGUACCUCAGUGUUUAUCUAGCAAGCCUCUAUGGACAUCGGACCGGUGUGCUAAAGAACAUGACUGUGGCGGAGGUUGAAGAAGCCCAGCAGGAAGCCACAGUCGGGCAAGUGGGCUUUGUGAUCAAUGUGAAGGAACACAAAACCAACCGUGGCGUUUGGCCCCGCACAGCUCUACUUAACUAUAGAGGAGUUCUCAUGGGUGGAGCAGUGGAUGAUCAUCAGACAGAAACUAAACCCACCCACAGACCUUCUUCUCUUCAC